GACGAACGCUGGCGGCGUGCUUAACACAUGCAAGUCGAACGGAAAGGCCCUGCUUUUGUGGGGUGCUCGAGUGGCGAACGGGUGAGUAACACGUGAGUAACCUGCCCUUGACUUUGGGAUAACUUCAGGAAACUGGGGCUAAUACCGGAUAGGAGCUCCUGCUGCAUGGUGGGGGUUGGAAAGUUUCGGCAGUUGGGGAUGGACUCGCGGCUUAUCAGCUUGUUGGUGGGGUAGUGGUUUACCAAGGCUUUGACGGGUAGCCGGCCUGAGAGGGUGACCGGCCACAUUGGGACUGAGAUACGGCCCAGACUCCUACGGGAGGCAGCAGUGGGGAAUAUUGCACAAUGGGCGGAAGCCUGAUGCAGCAACGCCGCGUGCGGGAUGACGGCCUUCGGGUUGUAAACCGCUUUCGCCUGUGACGAAGCGUGAGUGACGGUAAUGGGUAAAGAAGCACCGGCUAACUACGUGCCAGCAGCCGCGGUAAUACGUAGGGUGCGAGCGUUAAUCGGAAUUACUGGGCGUAAAGCGGGCGCAGACGGUUACUUAAGCAGGAUGUGAAAUCCCCGGGCUCAACCUGGGAACUGCGUUCUGAACUGGGUGACUAGAGUGUGUCAGAGGGAGGUAGAAUUCCACGUGUAGCAGUGAAAUGCGUAGAGAUGUGGAGGAAUACCGAUGGCGAAGGCAGCCUCCUGGGAUAACACUGACGUUCAUGCCCGAAAGCGUGGGUAGCAAACAGGAUUAGAUACCCUGGUAGUCCACGCCCUAAACGAUGUCGAUUAGCUGUUGGGCAGCAUGACUGCUUAGUAGCGAAGCUAACGCGUGAAAUCGACCGCCUGGGGAGUACGGUCGCAAGAUUAAAACUCAAAGGAAUUGACGGGGACCCGCACAAGCGGUGGAUGAUGUGGAUUAAUUCGAUGCAACGCGAAGAACCUUACCUGGUCUUGACAUGUACGGAACCCUCCAGAGACGGAGGGGUGCCUUCGGGAGCCGUAACACAGGUGCUGCAUGGCUGUCGUCAGCUCGUGUCGUGAGAUGUUGGGUUAAGUCCCGCAACGAGCGCAACCCUUGUCAUUAGUUGCCAUCAUUAAGUUGGGCACUCUAAUGAGACUGCCGGUGACAAGCCGGAGGAAGGUGGGGAUGACGUCAAGUCCUCAUGGCCCUUAUGACCAGGGCUUCACACGUCAUACAAUGGUCGGUACAGAGGGUAGCCAAGCCGCGAGGUGGAGCCAAUCUCACAAAACCGAUCGUAGUCCGGAUUGCACUCUGCAACUCGAGUGCAUGAAGUCGGAAUCGCUAGUAAUCGCAGGUCAGCAUACUGCGGUGAAUAAGUUCCCGGGUCU
rnacentral:rRNA from 1 species